AAGGGAGCUAUGGCACAAAGAGUUGAGACGUGUGAAGGGGAGAGGGAGAUCCAACUUCAUAACGAGGGAGGAGGGUCGGCAAUUUCUCCGGCUCAGCAAGGGUUAAGCCCGAGGGUGGAGAUGUGACCUGUGACUGGCUGAAGUUGAGCCCCAGUUGACAAAUCAGGUGCUGAAUUCUGUUCAUAUUCUUUUCAACAGUAGUGCACUACAUGAGGAAUAGUGGACGUUUAUCUUUAUCUCAURCCAUUAGACCGUGACAUCUAGUGUGUCACAGACUAGUGUGUCAUCCCAACAGUCAACACCACCCUUCCUUCCUAACAUUAGAAACCAACGRCGGUGCGCGUCCACAAUGGCACACUAUUCCCUUUUUAUAUAGUGCACUACUUUUGACCAGAGCCCAGCGUAAGUCAAAAGUAGUACGAGGAUYUUUUAGGGAACAGGGUGCCAUUCCGGAUGCAUUUGUUUCUCAAACCGUAAGUGAAACUGUCAUCAGUGAGAUGUUGUCCGUUUCUAUCCCCUUACCAAGCGAGCCUCUCUUCUUUCUGCUCUGGCAUAAAGUGACUUUGUACUACGUUUUGUGUGAAGUGUGUGAUUCAUUGACUUUAAGACUACGGCCCAAAGGGCACCAUAUUCCCUAUUUAGUGCACUACUUUUGACCAGGUAGUGACCUAUAUAGGGAAUAGUGUGCCAUUUGGGACUCAGAAUAAAAACAGAAGAUCAAUAUUUCAGAACAAAAUAUGCAUUUAAAUGUGUUUAUUUUGAAUGCUAUUAWUUAGUCUAAUAGUCAUUAUCAUCACAGGCUUUAAGUCGMUUUUUUUCUUGCUCCAAUACUGUAUCAAUUGUGUCUGUUUUUUGGGGAGGUUUUCUAUURUCUUUUAAAGGGGGUGUAUGUGAUUUGAAAAGAUGGAAACAUGUAAUAGCAGAUUCACUCAGAGGGGUGUCACUCUGGGGCUCUGCGUGGUGUAUUAGGGCUUGAUUCAGUCCAUUGACGAAGUUCAGCGUUAUAGCACGAUCUGACAUUUAAAAGCAGUCGUUUCGCGGAGACUGCAUUCGUGGUAAACGCUGCGUAAGUCGGCUCAAUGCGAGGUGAGCUUCGGCGAUACGGAUUGAAUUGAGUCCUUUUAGUUAUUCAUGUGUAUCAGAUCUACUUUCUAGACGUGUAUCUGCACCACGGUGCAUAGCUGUGCUGAGGCUGAGAGCCUUCUCUCUCCACUUCAGAUUCAUCCGCCACACACCUGCUCAGUCUUACUGCUUCUGUACCAGUCACUCCAGUUCAAACACUAACAGUCAUGUAUUCAUUGUGACGAUAUACAGGCGGUGCAUCUGACACCUUGAUCUCAGUUGCACUAGAGAACAGUGGUCCCACCUAGCUUGGUUGCCAGGUCAGGACGUGCUUUAGACAAAUAAUGUCAUGACAUUGAAAGUCUGAAAUUUUGCUUAAGCCUGUACAGAUCUGGCAACUAGGCUAGACCAGACAGUGGAGUCGGACCUUAAACCCUCCAUAUAACUCUGUUGUAGAGGAGUGUAUUUGAUCAUCGGAGUUAAAAAUGCUUAUAAACAUAAUCAGGGAGGCAGUUUCCACUCUUGACUCUUURCCCCCCUUUCUGUCCUUCUCUUGGGUUUGGAUCCUUGAUAGCCUGGUCCCAGAUGUGUUUGUGCUGUCUUGCCCCAACUCAUUGUCAGACUGUGAGUGUCGAAGUUGGCUCGAAGCCAUCUGGGACCAGGCUAGGUCCUUAAUGCUCUGUGUUGAGACUAUAUAGAAAGACAUCUGGGASCAGGCUAGGUCCUUAAUGCUCUGUGUUGAGACUAUAUAGAUGUCUUAACUUCUCAAUCUUCAGCCCAGAGUUACAAGGCCUUUGUUUCAUUGGGACAUUUCAACAACAAAAAAAUCAAAGGAAAACGGAUGUUUAGUUUUUUUUUAAUGAAUUUAUUUCUUUUUUUGUUGGGAAGUGCAUAUUGUUUGUUGAAGCACACGUCCAGUGGUGACCGUGUGAUUUGCAAUAGGUCUUUAUAUCUGCUGUAAAUGUUCUAAUAAAAAGGGUUUGAAUUCUGGGAAA